rnacentral:lncRNA from 1 species
UUUUUUUUUUUUUUUUUUUUUGCUUUAAGGGAAGAGAUUACAGUCUCUAGACCAAAAUAAAUCUCAGAGUAGCACCUCCAAUGAUAUCUGCAGCGAGCGUGUGCUUCAAGUCUUCCGGUGGUUCUUCUAUACUUUCUUGGACCAUUUGAGAUCUCACGCUUUCCUUAGCAAACCAAUUUGCGCUCUUAUUUCCUUCCUACCAUCCAUGAUUCAACUUACAGCUCCAAUUCCUUUGGAUCAGCUCCUGUAUCUACUUAAUCAAAUUGUAAUGUGGGGGCAUACCACUUCUAUUUACAGUCAAGUCCUUUCUACACGUUUAUGUCAAAAAUAAAUAAAAGUUUUGAACCGUGUUGCAUUUUUUAUUUACACUGCUAACUGUAUUGAAUUCCGAAUUUGGUCGCUUUACUUCUUCCUCGGAAAAAAAUUGGUGGAAUUAGGAUGGGGGAUGCGUCUACAAUGCAGAAAUAAUUCUGAUAUUUGUUGUGGUAAAAUUUAGUUUGAACCAUAAAGUGGACUUGUGUGUGAUUUGGCUGAUGGAUCGUACUUACAAGAAGUGAGACAAUUUAAGAUGUAGUUAUUGGAUAUCGGUUAUAGAAGUAAAAGCCUUCAUUUGACCAACCAAAAAAAAUGAUAAAUUAUUUGAAGGGUGAAAAAUGAAUCUAACAUAUAAGGACACGUAUGGUUGCUGACAUCAAGUCUUAUUAGUCUUAUGAAAAGUCUUACGCUUGUCGACAUAGAAGAGUCUUGUGAUAAUGUGUGGCGGGUGAGGCAAUCCAACACCAUCUACUUGAGUUCAUCCAUUGAAAGAGGUUGUGGAGAAAACUAUCCAUCAAGUAAGCAUAAAGGCGGCGACAAUAGUAGUAGCAGAGAGAUACAAAUCCAAGAGAAAGCUGAAAAUUAUGAGGAGAUGGAGAUCGACUCAACUAUUUUGAAAGAUGCACAUUUGAGAUAAAGAAAAGUCAGAAACAACUUAUGGACGUCAUGGUGGGUUAUCCAAGUCCCUGAAUUAUCUAGAGUCUGGAUAAAUGAAGGAGCUGCAAAGAAUUAGUGCGGGCUACUGUGAUGGUUGUGCAAUUCACUAUAGAGCAGAGAAUGCUGAGUGAAAGUGAGCAGGAAAUCAAAAAUAGGAUAUGAUUCACUAUGUUGAAAAAAUAUAAUCACAUUCCUAGCACACCAGUACAAUCCAUGAAGCAAAUGAUGGUUAAGAGUGGGGGAAAAAGAGAGAGUCAUACGGUUAUCAGCGUUGAAAAAGGUAACAACUUUGGUGACCUUAUGGCCUCCUCAACUAAAGAGUACAACUCUCGAAAGACAAAGUAGGGGACUAUUAGUGUCCAGGAGAAUGAACCCAUAAGAAAGAUCUCGAAAAAUCACCGAAAUUGGUGAGCUAGAUUCGGAGAUUUCAUCAAACUGAACAAACGAAUACAAAGUCAAGAAACAACACCUAGCAGGGCACAUGAAAGAAAACCUAAGGACUACAGGAAGGUUAUCAGUAUAUACCCAAAGAAGGAAUGAAGCACGAAGAAGAGCGGAAGGAGCUUUAGAGGUAAGAAACUGAUAUUGAAUAAUGUGAAUUAAAUUGCUCAUCCAUAAUAGUAAAACGAGACACUCAUAUGCAAACUUUAACCUUUGUUUUGAGCUUUCUAGACAAUAAGAGGAGAGAGAGUUGAUAAUUGCAAAACUGCUAGUGUUGUGGUUCAUGAUUUUCUCAUGAAUAUGAAUUGCCGCUGGAGUAAGUGAAAGUUGCCUAAAAUUAUAUUGAAACAUAUUGCCGUGUGGUAUUGAUAUGCAUACAUAUAUAGCUGACUAAAAAAAAACACGUGCAGGCAGGCCGUCGUUACAAUUAGAGGCCAAGUAGCUAACCGAGAGCAUAUUCUUUGUUUGUUGCCUUGUAUGUGUGUCGAAACUGAGGUAAAUCUCACAUAAUUAAGUAUAUUUAACACAAAAUAUUAAUAGUGAAAAAUUAGUAUACUGACAAUGUGUUCCUCUAGAUUGUUAAUUGUUACUUUGCUUUGCUCACGGCACGUGCAAGGAGAAAUUCUGGAAUGCAUCAUAUCGCGGGUGGUACAUGUCGAGUUGGUCAGCGGUAAGUCUCUUAAGAACAUAAAUUGAGCUCAAUGAUCAUUUCCGUAAGGUCCAUUGCUUGGUAGAAGGAGUCAGCACCUCGUGUGAUUUUGGAUUUGGGCUAAUAUUUGCAAUUGUUUGUUGAAGGAAAUGGUGACAAAAAAUGAGAUGAGUUGUAUAUCUAUUAUCUAACUGAGGACAAAGUUGGUGGCUUGAUUAUAGAGUGUGAGAAGGUAAGAAGUUUCAUUAGUUAUUAAUGAAUGGGAUAUAUUAAAAAUAUGGAUUAGUAAUUUCAUUCAUUGUUGAUAUUUGUAGAUUUGAAUACCACUGAAUUGGGAUGGAAAACACUGGUGUUUGGCAGUCAUUUACUUGAAGAAGAAUAAGGUUAUGAUAUUCAACCCAUAUCCUGACGAAGAUUUCAAUGAAUUGCGGUUGAUGAAUGCAAAGAUGGUGGCAAGAAAUGAAAAGUCUUACAUGAUAUAUUUCAUCAAUGUAUGAUAUUUGAUGUGCGUAGAAUGAAGAGUUUAAAAUGAUUCAGAGCUACUGGUAUUGUCAUCUUUUGUAGUGUUCAAAAAUUAGUGGUGCACUAUAUAUAAGGACCGAAGACAAUCUAAGAGGGGAGAUGAAUUAGGUGGUUUAAAAAACUUGCCAAGAUAUGAAUCACCUUUUCAGUAUUUGUCCUCUUUUUCUAAACGACCACACAAUCGAGCAAUAGAAGAGAAAGCACAAGUGCUUGUGAGUAGAAGAGAUGAACAGUUUUAUAUUAAAACAGUAAGUAAAAGGGGAUAGAAUACCAAACCAAAUGUCAAACUCCUCUUGAGUUUGGAUAUCACUUUAUACAGCAAGUUUUUUCAAGUCGAUCAACUUACAAUCAAUCUUUUGUGUACAAGGGCAGGAUCACUUCCUCCUUGCCCCAAGCCAUACUUGGUCAAGCAAUGAAGUUUUACAAUCACUCGGAUAACCUUCAUAAAACUACACUAUUGAAGUAGUUGACUCACACUAGAAAAGCUUAUUGAAAGUUACACAACUAAGAGUACAAAUCUUCUUUUUGAAGAGUAUUCUCACACUUGAAUCACUCUUGAUUGAUGUAGUCUCAAUGUGUAAAAUCCCUUUGAAGUGGUUGACUUUGUUCUAUUUAUAUGGAACCAAGAAGUUCCUCAAUUAAUGCUUCCAAUGGAUAGAAGGUAACUGAAGAGUCAACUAGCCGUUGGUAGUGUUGGACGUUUGGUAGAUCAACUUCUUGCGUCCGAACGUAGGCAGUGAGUUCAAGAAAUCCUCUUGAAUUAUAUCGGACGUCUGGUACCUUUAAUGUAUGCGUCCGAAGGUAGGAGGUGAAACUGGGAGUUCUUCUUUAAUUCUUUUCGAACGUCCAAUCCCUCCAAGGUUUUGCGUCCGAAGUGGCACAACUCUUGUCGGACGUCCGGUGCUUUGAGGAUGUGCGUCUGAUCGAGGUCAGUGAGUUUAGAGAGAAUGACUUAAUAUCUUCGGACGUUCGAGGGUGAGGUUCUUCAUUCGUUCGAAGUUGUGCAAAGGUUGUCGGACGUCCGAUCCAGUCUUCUUACGCAUCCGACAGCAGUUUCAGCAUCCUUUGUGCUUUAAUCUUUGAAUCUUUUUGCUCCAUUUUUUAAAGAGUCUUUUUGAGAGAACAUUAGUAAUCAUCCAUUUAUUUUGUAAUCAUCAAAAGCUAUGGACUGAGAUAAACAAUCUCCUCCUUUUUGAUGAUGACAAAACAAUGGAUCAAAGAAAAUAAAAUUGGGACACAACUCUCCCUUACUUGAUGCAGUCCUCUCACAAAAGAUUGGGCACAACUCCCCCUUAGAAUGACUCCCCCUUACUUAUACAUCCAUUUCUCCCCCUUUUUGUCAUCAUUUAAAACAACCAGAAUCUGAUCAUCAAUAUUAGAGUCCAGUAUUCAAUAUUAGCAUUCAAGACUACCAAGCUAAAAACACAGCAUCAGCAAUUUUUUUGGCAAUUGUUAACAACAGAAAUUAGCAAUCACUUAUCCAGUUAAUACUAUCAUCAAUGCUAUCAACAGCAGCAAUAUUGGCAACAGUCAGCAAUAAUCAACAGCGGUCAUUAUCAGAAUUUUAAGGCUAAACAGAGUUAAACAACAUUCAUCCAAAAUAGAGAGAUAACACAAACGAUGCCAAAGUAGAAUCCUUAGUAUAGAACACAGACUGUUUAUAAUGUAAAAGAUGCCAAAAGUUUAGAAGUGCCAAAAUGAAGUGCAUUUGCCUAGAGGUGCGUAAAAGGUGAUCUUGAAGGAUCUAGGCAUUCUCCUUGUUAGGCGAAAGAAGGAUCUUCUUCCUCUUCAGUGUCCUCAUCAUCAUCAUCAUUAUCCUCUUCAGUCUCUGCUUCAGUUGCUAGAGCUUUUCCUUUAUUCUGUGACUGAGAACUGGAGCACGGUGCUCUGGUAGUUUCAGUAGUGGGCUCAGUUCUGAGCUCCUUUUGGUAUGCAUUUUUAUUUUCUUGAGGAAUUGGAGGCAUAAGCAGAUUCCUUUUAGCAAUGAAGGUGUUUGUUGAUCGGAUGUCAUGGUCAUCAUCAGGCCAUCUUCAAGAAGUAGGACGUGUUGUUUGAGGUUCUCAAGCAGAGAGAUGACUUCAAAGUUGGAUGAAGAAGACUUGGUGGCUGACUUUCUAGGAUGGAUGGUGAAGGGUGACACAUAUAUGGACUAAUCACGAGGGGUCAUAGGGGUAACAAGAGUUUCAUGAAAGUUCUUUCUCCUAAACUUUGAAACAGUUUCCUUGUAACACCAAUGCCCCUAAAAAAUUUAAGAUUUUUCCUUUCAAAAUAAGCCUUGAAGAAAACAGUUGAUGCACCCUGUUUUGGAGAUUUUCCAAUAAAGGGGAUUUGAAAGUGAGCAAAAAUAGGAGUUAAAAAUUUUUUAUGGAAAGUUUCCUACGACUAUCAGUGCUUAUUUUGAGCAAAACUGGCACAUGACAAAGUCAGAAUCAAUUUUGAUUUUUUCAAAAAAGUAGUAGAACAUAUAAAGUUCCAUUUUGUUGGUUUCAAUCCUGUGACCAUCAGUAGGCACCAACAGAUUUAAAAUUAUGAAAAAAAUGAUCAGAUUUUGAGGACUGAGAUCUUCCAAUCUAACCUCAGAAGGAGUAUUGAAAUGGGUUUGAAAAUAGGUCAUCAAUUUUGCAACAUAAAAGUGAUAGUAGGCAGAAGAAAAUUCUUUGUAUGAAAAGAAGUUUGCAAUUUUUUUUUUAUAACCAUCUUCAAUUUUGGUUUCCAAAACAAUGUUGACAAUGUCAGGAUUCAGUUCUAUGUUAACACAGUUGACACGUGAGAUGAGAUCAGUAUGUGACUUGCCCUACCUAAGGUUGGCAAAAAAUUGAUGAAACAUGUCAGGAUAGUAUGUGUUUGGAAUGGUCAGAAGAUGGGUCCAUUUUUGGAAUUCAAAAAGGUUGAGAACAAGUUCAAUGUCAAAUUUAUGGAAUUCGUGGGGGAUAAUGGUCCUCUGAAUGAUGAAACCUUUCUGUGAGAUCCAUUCGAACCUCUCCCUGGCAUCAUCAACAAUGAACUUGGGCAAGGGAGUGGUUUCCUCUGCAGUUUGAGCCUCAGGUUGCUCAUUUGCAGGACGCUUUCUUUUUCCAGUGCAAUGAGUAGUUGGCACAGUACUCUGGACACCAGAUCUCGUCCUUGGUGACUUCCUGGUAGAUGGUUCAGCAGUUUGCUGUUCCUCAACAUUUUUUUCUGCAUCCUGCUGUUCCCCUGAAGGAUCAGCAGUUUUCCUUUCCCUGGGUUAAGCAAUGCUCUUCCUUUUGGUGGUCCUAUUUUCCUUCCUGGGUGAUUUCAUGACGAUUAUAUCUUCAUUGGUGGGUUGCUCCAGUUCCUCUUCAUUGCCACUGACUGGAUGCUCUUCAGAUUGUUGUUCCUCCAUCUGCUCAUCAGUUGAUUCAACAGAUGGUUCUGUGGUUUGAACAGUCUGCAUUUUUUUUGCAGACUGCUUCGUUUUUCCACCACGAUUUCCAGUUCUCUUUUUGGGUGACUUGAUGGAAGGUUUGACAACUUGAACAUCUUCAUCCUCUUCAUCUCUAAGGCUAAAGAUGCGUCCGGCACUCACAGACCCUCCUCUAAUCCUCACCAUGAGUGCAAUGCAGUGUAUUUUUUAUGUGGUGUGUAAUGCAAAUAAGUGUCAAAGAAUUUGAAAGUGCAAUAUGAACUACAAUGGAUGUUAGAAUUCGUCCACAGAGAGUAAAUUUGGGUGGUUAGAGUUUGGGGUUAGAAUUAGGAUUUAUAGUGCAGUUGGAAGUUGGGAGAAGUUAUGAUGUGCAAUUAACUCGGAAUAGCUAUGUAAUUGUGACGGUCAGAGUGAUUACUUGGAAAUUGUUCCGAAGAGAGAUGAAUUUGAAUUUUGAAAUUCAAAAAAUAUGAAGGGUUGCAUCCGAGACGAGGGGUGAGGAUGAACUGAAUGACACAGAGGACUUCCUUAUAAGAUGCAAUUUUUGAGUGUCGGACGGCCGAAUGAAGUAAAACAUCCGACAUGACCGUCCGAACCAGAAUUUUCUGAAAAAAUGAUCAAGAACACUGUCGGACGUCUGUUCUAGCACAUCGGACGUCCGAUAAAGAAUGACCUGAGAAUUUUUAGAGUAUUUUUUCUGAAAUGUCCAAUUUUGUUCUCAAAGACACAAAUUGAUCCAGUGGUAAGACUUUUGUGAGAAUAUCAGCAAUUUGAUCUUUUGAACAGACAUAUUGAGCACAAAUUUCACCCUUAUGGAUAAGAUCGCGAAUGAAAUGAUGCUUUAUGUCUAUGUGUUUUGUUCUAGAAUGUUGGAUGAAAUUUUUUAUCAAAUUUAUUGCACUAGUGUUAUCACAAUACAUAGGCACAUAAUCAUACAUCAAUCCAAAAUCAUUCAAUGUGUUUUUCAUCCACAAUAAUGGAGCACAACAAGCACUGACAUCAAUAUAUUCUGCUUUAGUUGUAGACAGAAAAAUAGCAUUUUGCUUCUUACUACACCAAGAUACUCAGUAUUUUUCAAGAAAGGUACAUAUACCAGUUGUACUUUUUCUAUCUACCCUACACCCGUCGAAGUCAGCAUUCGAGAAUCCAUAUAAAGGAAAUUCAAGACACUUAGAAUACCAUAAGUCAAAAUUCACAGUUCCUUUUAGAUAUCUAAGAAUUCUUUUUACCUCAUUUAAGUGAGAUUCCUUUGGACAGGACUGAAAGCGAGCACACAAGCAUAUAACAAAUUUGAUAUCAGGUCUACUAGCAUUUAAGUAAAGCAAGCUACCAAUCAUACCUCUAUAAUUUUUUUCAUCAAUUUUUGUACCUUCUUCAUCCUUGUCAAGCUUAGUAGAGGUGCACAUGAGUGUUCCAACUUACUUUGAAUCUUCCAUUCCAAAUCUUUUGAGCAGCUCCUUAGUGUAUUUUGCUUGAUUAAUGAAUGUUCCUCCUUGGGUUUGAACCACUUGAAAUCCAAGGAAGAAAUUUAAUUCUCCCAUCAUACUCAUCUCAAACUCUUUUUGCAUUAUUGUGGAGAAAUCCUUGCACAAACUCUCAUUAGUAGCACCAAAUAAUAAUGUCAUCUAUAAUAUUUGCACAAUUAACAGAUCAUGUGUACUUUGUUUAGUGAAAAGAGUGGUAUCUACAAUUCCUCUUUUAAAAUCAUUUUCAAUCAAAAAAUCACUUAAAACGUUCAUACCAAGCCCUUGGACCUUGUUUUAAUUCAUACAAAGCUUUUGAGAGUUUAAACACAUGAUUAGGAUAAAUCUCAUUUUCAAAAUCAGAAGGUUGAUCAACAUAUACUUCUUGAUCAAUAAAGCCAUUUAGAAAGGCACUUUUUACAUCCAUUUGAAAUAGUUUGAAAUUCUUGAAACAUGCAAAAGCCAAAACAUUCUAAUUGAAUCUAACCUAGCUACGGGUGCAAAUGUUUCAUCAAAGUAUAUUCCUUUUUCUUGAGCAUAUCUCUUGGCUACAAGUCUGGCCUUAUUUCUAAUAACCUCACAUUUGUCAUUCAUUUUGUUUUAAAAACCUAUUUCAUGUCAAUGAUAGGAUGAUUUUGAGAUCUUUCAACCAAUGACCAAACCAUGUUCAUUUCAAAUUGAUUUAGCCCAUCUUCCAUAGUUAAAAUUCAGUUCUCAUCUUUCAAGGCAUCAAUAACAUUCUUGGGUUUGAAAUGUGAGACUAAUGCAAAAUUAUCCAUCAAUUGUUUAAAGGAGGAACGAGUUCUGAUCUUUUCUGAUGGAUCACCAAUGAUGAGCUCCUUAGGAUGGUUUUGAGCAAAUUUUCAGGCUCUUGGAAGAUCGUUAGAUGUACUUACAUCUUUGUCACUGUCUUCCGGUGCUGGAAUGUCUUGAGAAUCAUCUUCUUUUGAGUCAUUUUCUGGUGAAACAAUGUCUUGGUCAUUGAUUGAGAGUUUUUUUAGUUCUUCUCGAACACCUGCAUCAUCAUCUUCACCAUUACUUUAGAAAUAUCACCAUUAAAUUCAUCAAAAGUAAUGUGUAUAGCUUCUUCAAUAAUCAGUGUCCUUCGAUUGUAAAUUCUAAAACCUCUCUUAUUCUCACAAUACCCCAAGAAAAUUUUUUCAUCAGAUUUUUUAUCAAACUUACCAAGAUAUUCCUUGAUGUUCAAAAUGAAACAUUUGCAAUCAAAAACUUUGAAGUAUCCAAUAACAGGUUUAUUAUCAAACAUCAACUCAUAAAAGGUUUUGUUCAAGAUUGAUUUUAAAAGGAUUCUAUUCAUAGUGUAGCAGGCUGUAUUUAUAGUUUCAACCUAAAAAUAUUUUGGUAAGUUGCACUCACUUAACAUGGUCCUAGCAGCCUCUUGAAGUGUUCUAUUCUUCCUCUCAACAACCCCAUUUUGUUGGGGAACUCUUGCAAUUGAAAAUUCAUGUGUAAUGUCAUUGUUAUCGCAAAAUUCUGGAAUGCCACAAAAAUGAAAUUCUGUGCCAUUGUCAUUUCUGAUCUUGAUGAUUUUUAACCCAAUUAGAUUUUGAACCUUAGCAAAUAAUGAAACAAAGUUUUGAAAACAUCAUCUUUGUGUGCAAGAAACAUCACCCAAGUGUAUUUAGAAUAAUCAUCAACAACAACAAGGCAAUAGUUUUUGCCACCUAAACUAGUGGUUUGUGUGGGACCGAAUAAGUCAAGAUGUAAAAGUUCCAAAGAUUUUGUGGUAGAAACACAUUUCUUGGGUUUAAAAGAAACAUUGACUUAUUUUUCAAAUUGACAAGCAUCACAGAUUUUAUUCUUUUCAAUUUUGAUUUUUGGCAAUCCUCUAACCAGUUCCUUUUGAAAAUCUCUUUUAGCAAAUCAAUAUUAAAAUGACAAAACCUUCUAUGCCACAACCAAGUGUCUUCAUUUGCAACUUUAAGAUAUUUAAAACUAGAAGAAUCAACAUUUUUUAGAAUUACUACAUAAAUGUCAUUAACUCUUUUUCUUUUGAAGAUAGUGUUGAACUUUAAAUCAAGAAUAAGACAUUCAUGCUUUUUAAAUAACACAAACAGAUUUCUAUCACAUAAUUGACUAACACUUAAUAAGUUAUAUCUCAGAUUAUCAACUAAAAGAAUAUUAUGAAUAAAGGUUUGACCAUUCUUACUAAUAUCAACAACUCCAACAGUUUUGACUUUGUUAUCAUCUCCAAAAGUUACCUUUUCACUUGCUUUUGGUUUGAGUUUGAUGAAUUGUGAUGGAUCACCAGUCAUAUAUCUUGAGCAUCUACUAUCUAUGAACCAUUUUAAUUCAUUGAUAAUAUUUAUCAAGUUCGCCUACACAAAAAUUCACAUGAUAAUAUUUGGUACCCUUUACUUUUUGGGUCCUUGAGAGUUAGCAUUAUAUUUAACUAUUCACAUGCAUUUCAUACCAUUUAUCAUAUUCUUCCUCACAUAACAAUUACUCUUCAUAUGACCAAUCUGACAACAAAAACUGCACAUAGUCAGUGAGUUACUUGCAUGGACAGGUUUAAUAAAUCUGAUUUGUGUGAUACCCCGAAAAUUAGGAGUUUAUUUGUAAAGAAAAUACUAAAGUGUAUAUUUUUUGGUUUAAUUUAAACCUUAUUUCUUUUUUUAAAAGAUUAGAAACCCUAAAAUUUUAAUCAAAAAUCCUAAUUUACUUGUGACCAACCGGUUUUCUUAAAUCCCUCAUAUUUUAAUUGAAACCCUAAUUUUAAUCACUGAAAUUGUAAAAUUCCUCACAUUUUUUUCUUAAAAAUGCCUUUUAUUUGAAAAUUAUUCAUUUACUAUGGCCCUACGACCCAAUCAUUCCUCAAUAGGUGCAAAUGAACCUAGGAAGUAGGGUUUCACUUUUCGUUUCCAAGUUAAGAGCGAAUUAGGGCUUCAGUUUUUCCGUAGUAUGAUUAUUCGGUACGGAGUGAGGAUUAAAUUUGAUAGGUAAAAGUGACUUUUGGAUGAGGAAAUACUAUAUGACUAGAAGUGAUAAUAAUAAGAUAGUGAUUAUAAGCUAAAAAUCCUAGUAUACACGAUUUAAGAGAAAUCGCGUCAAAUCGAUGGUACCGCGCACUACCAAUUGAACGCACCACUUGAUCACCACUUUCUUACCACAUGAACUCAUUAAUACUUGAGCAAAUAUUUCCUUAUUUCCAGCUAGCUUUGACCGAAAUUUUGGGGCUGAAAUUGCAAGAAAGAAAAAGAAAUUUUGCUUGGUAAUUGGUGGUGACAAGUGUCACACCAUUAAGGGUCUUGACCAAGACCAAUUGUCCAAUCUUCUUAUCACCUUGGAGCUGCACUUCUUCUUCAUUUUUUCUGUUGUGUGGCCGAGAGAGAGGGAGAGAAAAACCCAAGUGAGAGCUGCCAUUUUUAUCUUGAGUUUGUGAGUGUUAAGUGAGCAACUAAAAUUCUAAACCAAUUAAAGAGUGAGUUGUGAGCUUGAGAAGCUAGGGGAACCAAGAAUUUCAAGAGGAGGUGAAGUAUCACUCUUACAAGCUUCAUUUGUUGAGGUACAAGGCUAAACCAUGGCUUUGGUUCUUUUAUUUUUGGUUUAAGUUGUUAUAUAAUGCUUGUUUUGGUGGGAUUAGUGGUGAUACAAGUUGUUAUGAUGAUUUAAAGGUGAUUUAUGUGAGUUAGGGUUUGAGGUAUUUGCUACCUAUCCUUGCUAUAUGGAUGAUGUAUGUUGUAUUUAAGCUUAUAUAAGUGGUUGUGGUGAUGAUUGGAGCAAGAAAUCAAGAAAGGUUACAUUGAAUCCCAAAAUUUCAGGUUUCUGGAAAAUUUCAGCUCUAUUCUGUCCGGUUUUAUUGCACCAUGUUAGAGGCCAAAUUAGGCUUGGUAUAAAACAUAAAAGUUGUAUAGAAUGGUAUUUUAUAGGUGCCUACAAAAUUUCAACUCAAUCGGAGCAACGUAACCUGUGAAAAGACCAAAAUACCCUCACUAUUUUAGGAUGUUUCCAGUGUUCCAUUUUAGUCAGUUCAUCCAGUUUAUCAUGUUUAUUCACUAGGAUUCGUGCUGAUUUAGCCAUUUACCAAAACAUGAAAGUUUUAGUACUCUGUCUUAGUUUUUCAACACCUACAAGAACACCUUAAACGGACCCUGGUAGCCUGAGAUAUGACCAUUCUAGUGCAGUGCGGUUAAUUAGCCGUAUAGUUGGAAGUUGGCUCUGUAAAUUGGGAAUUUGAUCAGGUUACACUGGAAAUUUGACUAAGUGACCUUCAUGAAAGUUGUAGGAUUUCAUCUUAGCUUCAAAAUGGUAUAAGUUACACACAAAUCCGAUAAGCGUAGCCUCAAAUAUGUUCUUUCCGUAAAAACCCGUCAAUUCUGUCUCUUGUUAACUUCAUUUCCGCAUUUGUUAUUAGUUGAUUUAUGUCCUUGUAUUGUCUUGAGCCUAUGGAACGGCUAUUGAAAUGCAUUUGUGUUGUGUAUAAACUGGGGCUUGAAUGAGAAAAAUAAUGAAGCCAUAAAUGGCUGGAAAAUAUGUAAAUACAAAGGGCAUGCUGCCCAAAUUUUCGCUCAAGGACUAAUUUUCUAUUUGAACUUGUAUAUUUUCGUUUGGCAAAUACUAUGACCGUUUUUCCAUAUAUAAAACCAAGUCCUUCUUCAAUUGAAAACUCCAAAUGUUUGCUUACUCUUACCAAAUAAAGAGAAGUGAUUUAGGGUUUUUUUUUUGGGUACUUUGUUCUCUUUUUUACAUGAAUUUCAUUAAGACCUUUAGUUUGUAAAAUCUACUUGAAUAUGAGAUGAUUUUGAACCAUAUAAACGAUUCCGAAACCAGUAUUUCUUAGCCUAUCUAGUUGGAUUCCGACUUGUCUUUGGUUCAAGUGUUUUCAUUGGAAAAUUUUAUAAUCCUUUUGAGUUUGGUUUUACAUUUGGUCUAUGAAACCCUAAUUAUUUUGUCUACGGGUCUAAAUGUCCUCGUUUCACUUUAAAUACCUAAUUGUUUAUGCUAGAUGAGUUGUAAUAUUCUGUUUCGUUAAAUUUAGGUUUUCUCGGUGACUAAGGAUAAUAUCCGAAAGGAUUUUGCAAGUUGCUUUGCGUACAUAGGUGAGUAUUCCUUGUUUGCUAUAUUAUUCUUGACUCCAUGACUUGUGUUAUUGUUUUAUAACGUGUUAAGUACUUUCAAUGAUUUUCAAAACAAGUUUUUUGGGCGAGUGUGUACUUCAUCGCACUCAACCUAAAUACGUAUGAACUUUUCAAUGAUUUAAUGAUUGAACGAACAAUUAGUUGUGCAUGAAUGUAAGCCUUCUGACUGAACUGGGCCCUGCCCUUCGUUACCGAUCGACUCGAGUCAGAAGUGGACUCGGUCGGGCGAUAUGGUGACCCUGAGUGUGAACGUCGGUAUACUCGAGUAUUACCUUGUAGUCCGGACAACGUCCGGAUGGGUGGAGUCUGGCCAACGGCCGGGAAGGGGGUGAAUGAACGAAUGAAAGAACAAACGAGGGAUUUUACGUACAAAAAUGCAUUUUCAAAUGAUUGGAGGAAUAAGGGGAACGACAGGAGAACGAACGAACGAAUAAAUGGCUCCCUGUGAGCUCAUAUCCUUUUAAUGAAUGGUAUUAUUGCUUUAUAUUGUCAUGUUUCUUGCAUUACUUGUCAUUUAUGGUUAAUACAUGAGCUUUAUUGUUUGAUUAUGUGUUUAGAACCUCACUGAGGUUUUAGUUCACCCCUUUAGUUUGUUUUCCUUAACAGGGGAAGGCAAGCAAGGACGAGAGCUCGGUUUAGACUAGCCUAGACUAGUUUCUGAUUUUGUAAUGGUUCUCGCCCUAGUGCUUGGCACGGGUUGGAUAUGUGCUGAACUGAGAACCUUUGUAUAUUCGAUAUUUGUACUCUCUUUUGAGAUAGUAAUGUACAUAAGUUUUACGUUACGUUAGGUUAUGGAUUGUCAUUAUAUUUAUUCUUGGGAUUUAUUUCGAUUUUAAUUGAGAACUGAAGUGAGCGACUAAGUCCCGACGAGAGUUGGGCAGGCGGUCCGCCGAACCCUUUGGUUCGCCUUAGGGGGAGGUGGGGCCGUCACAAUUUGCCUUCUCUUAUAAAUAGUAAACUUAUUUGCACUAAAAUUCAGCCUAUUCUCAUGAAUGCCAAAAUGAGGCUUUGUGUCAUUCCUUUGAAAGAAGUUUUGUUUCUUAUGCUGAAGCAACUGAUCAAGAUCUUCCAUUCUUUUUUUAAACUUCCUUGUUCAUUUUUUAGCAUGUCACAGAAGUUUGUUUUUCUGUCAAGUUCAGUACAUAACUCAAUUUUAGUCCUAUUCAGGUUUUCAUUUUCAUUUUUCAGUUUCUUGUUUUGUUGAAAUAGGUUUGCAUUGUUUUGAAUCGAAAAGUUGAUCUUUUGCUUUAAUUCCUUGUUUCUAAUAUAGGAUUCUUUCAAACUGUUGUGUAUUCUUUCCAUAAAAGAAUUAAUAUCAUCAUUAGAUUCAUUAUCACUACCAGUUUGAGAGUUACAAGUUGUUACUUCUUCAUCACCAAUGGCCAUGAAAGCCAUUUGGGCAGAUUCCUCUUCUUUUUCGACUUCAUCGUCUGAGUUGCAGUCAUUCCAAGUAAUCUGGAAGUUGUUAACUUUUGGUUUUCGUUCAAAUUUUCCUUCUUUCUUUUUCUUCAUUGGACACUCAUUCACGUAGUGUCCAGGUUGGCCACACUCGAAGCAUUUGUCAGUUUGCUUCUUGUUGAACUUUUGCUUCCCUUUGUUUCGUGAGUUGUUGAACUGAUUUGAGAAUGAAUUGCUAGGUUCUCCUUUUCUGAAUUUCUUUUUGUUGAGAAUCCUCUUGAAGUUUCUUGUGAUGAGUGCAAUAUCACUGUCAUCAACUUUCAUAUUGUCUCCAUCCAAGGAGACUGAGUUAUCUUCCUCUUGCGAGGCUUUUAGAGCAAUGCUUUUUCUCAGCUUUGCAUCUUCUUUCUCCUGCAUUUUGGACUUGAGUUUCAACUCAUAAUAGGUUAGAGAAUUUAUGAGAGAUUCAAUAGGCAUAGUAUUUAGAUAUCUAGUUUCUUCAAUGGCAGUCACCUUACUCUCCAAUCCUUAGAUAAGGCGUUCAGAAUUUUUCUGUUUUUCUCACCUAGAGAGUAUUUCUUUUCCAGCACUUCUAAAUCUUUAAUAAGAUCAUUGAAUUGGCAAUACAUUUUUAUCAACAUUUUUCAUGAGAUUCCAUUUUAAAGGAUUCAUACUUAAUGAUCAGAAUAGAUUUUCUUUUGUUCUCUCACAUUCUCGCUCCCUUUAUGGAUUUCUCUAAAUUUAUCCCAAAUCUCUUUUGCAGAUCUAUAGCUUUUGACUCUAAUAGACUCAUUUGAAUCUAGAGCACUGUAUAAAACAUUCAUGGUCUUGGCAUUCAAGAUGAUAUGGGCUCUAUCAUUACCAGUCAGCUCACUCCUUAUUUUUGGUUUUGGUCUAUUGGUAACUUCAUCAACAGUAGAGGUAUCAUAUGAGCCUUCAUUGAUAAUAAACCAUAACUCGAUGUCAAUAGAUUGUAAGAAAAUAAUAAUUCUUUCCUUCCAACUCACAUAAUUUGAUCCAUUGAAUAUUGGGGGUCUAGUGACGGAUUGUCCUUCAAAGAACAUGGCAUUGUUGGUUGUCAUUUUAUUCUAAAGUCGAUUGAACUUAAUCUCUAAGAGACCAUGUUCUGAUACCAAUUGUAAGGAUCGAAAACAAUCUAAGAGAGGGUGAAUUAGGUGGUUUAAAAAACUUGCUAAGAUAUAAAUCACCUUUUUCAGUACUUGUUCUCUUUUUCUAAAUGACCACACAAUCGAGCAAUAGAAGAGAAAGCGCAAGUGCUUGUGAGUAGAAGAGAUGAACAGUUUAUAUAUCAAAACAGUAAAUAAAAGGGAUAGAAUACCAAACCAAAUGUCAAACUCCUCUUGAGUUUGGAUAUCACUUUAUAGAGCAAGUUUCUUCAAGUUGAUCAACUUACAACCAAUCUUUUGUGUACAAGGGAAUAAUCACUUCCUCCUUACCCCAAGCCACACUUGGUCAAGCAAUGAAGUUUUACAAUUCUCGGAUAACCCUCACAAAUCUACACUAUUGAAGUAGUAGACUCACACUAGAAAAGCUUAUUGAAAGUUACACAACUAAGAGUACAAAUCUUCUUUUUGAAGAGUAUUCUCACACUUGAAUCACUCUUGAUGUAGUCUCAAUGUGCAAAAUCUCUUUGAAGUGGUUGACUUUGUUCUAUUUAUAUGGGUCCAAAAAGUUCCUCAAUUAAUACUUCCAACGGAUAGAAAGUAGUUGAAGAGUCAACUAGCCGUUGGUAGUGUCGGACGCCCAGUAGAUCAACUUCUUGCGUCCGAACGUAGGCAGUGAGUUCAAGAAAUCCUCUUGAAUUAUAUCUGACGUUCGGAACCUUCAAUGUAUGCGUCCGAAGGUAGGAGGUGAAACUAGAAGUUCUUCUUUAAUUCUUUUCGGACAUCCAAUCCCCCAAGACUUUGCGUCUGAAGUGUUGUAACUCUUGUCGAACGUCCGGUGCUUUGAGGAUGUGCGUCCAAUCGAGGUCAAUGAGUUUAGAGAGAAUGACUUAAUAUCUUCGGACGUCCGAGGGUGAGGUUCUUCAUUCGUCCGAAGUUAUACAAAGGUUGUCGGACAUCCGAUCCAGUCCUCUUGCGCGUCCGACAGCAGCUUCAGCAUCCUUUGUGCUUUAAUCUUUGAACCUGUUUUGCUCCAUUUCUGAAAGAGUCUUUUUGAGAGAACAUUAGCAAUCAUUCAUUUGUUUUGUAAUCAUCAACAGUUACGGACUGAGAUAAACACUAUAUAUGGGAUAUAGGGAAAAAUUUAGAUUUGACUUCAAUGACUUUGAGUACUCGAGUCCCAGUUGGUGCCCAAGGCAAAUCAACAAGUAAUUUGUUUAUGUUUCUGUCUGUCUGGCUGAAUAGUUUAAAACCUGAUUUUUCAAUCUGUGAAUUGUUAUAUAACCUUUUUUGGCUGCACACGAACAUUGGUAGGUGGGACUCUGCUAUAUUUGUGAUAAAAUACAUGGAAGUAUGUGAUGAAAUGAAAGAGAGGAUCAAGAUUGAGGUAAGUAGUUCACUCAUUCAUUAACUAUGUCGAAUUUUCUUGUGUGUCCAUUUGAUUUUUUGUUUAAAUGGGAUUUUUGCCUUUGGCUCGACUUAGAUAAUAUCCAAUCAAGCUAGGAGAAGCUGAGCAGCAAUUGAACUAUUUGUGGAUGCAUCCAAUGAAGCUAGACAAACUUGCAUUGAUGAAUUUGAAGGCCUUCAAGAGAUAUUCCGGCCAUAGUGCAUCCAAACUAGCUUCCUUGUGAUAGUUUUCUUUUUGGUGAUGAAAUUGAAAGUCAAGAGCUUUGACGGGCAUGAACAUGUGGCAACUUUAGUGGAAGUAGGAAUUUUUGUGAAGUUCAAUUGGUUGGAGUCAUCUCCUACUUUUGUGAAGUUCAAUUAGUUAGGAGUUAUCAUUAGAAGACAAUGAUGUGAUUAUCUAGUAUGGGUUUGUCAUGUGUUUUCCUUUUGAACCGCAAAUCAUUGUAAGGGGUUAAUGAUAGGGGUUAUUAGCAAUGUAGUAAGUCUAGUGAUGUUUUUGAAACCCAAAUUGAAAUUGGACAUUAUGUUUUGUGACAACAUUAAUGUCUAUAUAACUGGUCAUAGUAAAAAAAAUUGAAAAUAAUUGUGACAACAUUCAAAUUAAUUCCAAUACAAGUUAGACAAAAUGGAAGAAUAAAUGACUACAAGUAAUGUGUUUUUAUGUGAAAACAAUUGUGAAAAGAUUCAAAUUAAUCCUAGUAUAGGUUAGAUGAAAUGGAAGACUAUGACUACAAGUACUAUGUGUUUACGUAAUUAGUUAUCAUAAUUUGUUUAUUUUCAUUUUCCACAUGGACCACAACUACCAUCUAUUAAGUUUGACAUACUCUAGUGACUUUGAUAAGACCGAAUUGGAUGUCCAAUGGUUGCCCACAAUGGCAUAAAUACAAGUGCACCUGCAAUCCUCAUGAUAAAUUAAAAAAAAUUACUGGACACCAUUAAUGUCUAUAUAUAGCAUUGUUGCGCCUAACACUCUCACACCAUUCCAACUUUCAUAGUGUAGCUCGAAAAAAAUAAUGGCCAAUAGCUCUUCAAAUUCAGCAACAUCAUUUGCAAAAUAUCUUGACCACUUAUGCGAGUGCAAGAUUGGCUUAUGCCGAAUUAUGGUGGUGAGAAAGUCAGAUGCAAAUCGAGAGAUGGCUUCUACCUAAUGCAAAUCAAGAUUGGCACUACUAUGUAUUCCCGGGUGAAGUGGUAAGGUCAAUCUAUUAAGAAAAAGAGUUUAUAGAAAAUUAAUGUUACAAAACCAUCCUCCUUUUUGUCAUAUUGACUCAGUUUGGCUGUCUACCGCUGCCGACCAUGGAUAGGAUGGUGUGAUGAAUAUGUGAAUGCCUUGACACAGUGAAAUCUAGUGGUCACCUUAUUGCACCAACAAUUGACGAAUUGCAUGGCCAAAUUCGGGAUAAGGUCAUGCGAACAAGAGCUGAAAUCGUGAAGAUUAGGGUAAUGAUAAAGGAAGUAGUUGCUUCACAAACUUUGGUGAAGUAUUCUAUGUUUCUAGUUAUAUGUCUAUGCCUUAAUUUGUUAGCCAAGGUCUAGGAUACGGAGUCCGAUCAUCUGUAAGACCAGCUUUUGGGUAUUUUUUUGGUAGAGAAGCAAAAAUUAGCUAUUAUCGAUGUUUUUGGUUCUUUGUUUACGCUUUAUGUUGUUGAUCUGCUAUAAGACCAUUCUUUAUCAGUUUUUCCUGUAAUGCUUAGAAAGUAUGGAUACUUUGCCUUGAUUUUGAUCUUUUAUCUUGGGUUUGUUGUAAUGCUUAAAAGGUUUGAAGUUGAUUUACAAAAGAAUUACCGGCCAAGCAAAAAGAUAAGAAUCUCAAAAGCAAGAUAAGGUGCUGGCAAAGCAACCAAUCAGAAGAAGAUAAGGUGUCGGUAGAAAAAGCAAAUGCAAUUCAAAUGAAAGUGUUGGCAAUCAAAUGAAGAUGAAAUUCAAAUGAAGAAACCUCUAUAAAUAGAAUUCAAACUCAGAUGUAGAGGCAUCGAGUGUUUUAGCCAUUCCGUAAAAUUCUCUAAAAGUCCUUAUUUUCCUAUUUUAAAAAAUUUCCUCUGUACUCUCAUUUCAAUAUUUCAAUAAAAUCCGAAGUUUGAUUUUCAUCUCAAAGGCUCAACAAUUAAAAGCUUCCGCUUCAAAGGCUACUCUAAUUUUCUGUAAGUUUUAUUUAUGCUUACUUAUAUUAUCCUGGGUUGGUUCUGGUAGAUAUGGAUCAUCUUGUUAUGAAUUCCCCAAUUCGUUGUUGGACUAAGAUGAUAACAACUCAUUAUAACAAUUAAAUCGGAUAGUCAACUCCGACGGUUAUAGCUAAUUAAGGGUCUAAUCUAAUUGUCGAUUCCUUGGUGCUAGCUCAUAAGAUGACAGUAGAUUUGGAUCAUCUCGUUAUGAAUUCUCUCAAUUUGUUGUUGGACUAAGAUGAUAAUAACUCAUUAUAGCAAUUAAUCAGAUGGUGAAUUCCAACGACUAUAACUGCUUAGGCCUAUUUAUACAACUGUUAAUUAGGACUACUUAUAUGAUUGUUCAUGGUCAACUAAGUCGAACAUAGUUGAUUAAAGUUACUAAUAUGAUCUCAUAUACAUCAAUUAAUUGUAAUAACUUAAAGGCGUGUAAUUAUGACAAAAGUUAAAGCACGCCAUUUGCCAAAAUGGCAGAGCACGCCUUUGAGGCAUUCACAAGCUAUCAGAUAAUGCCUGAGUUUUGAUAACAAAUCUUCCUCCUGACCAUUGGCAUGCGGCAAUUUGGAAAGAUCUUAAUCAUCAGAAGGUCUUACUUUUCGCGCCAUUGCAUUUAUUUGGCGCCAACAGAAGGUCUUACUGAAGAUAUUAUUAAUUCCAAGAGGUCCCACAACGAAUUAUUUUGCCGGUAACAUACCCCUAUCUCUACCGGUUAAAAAGUUUGCUUGCUUGGCUCAUCUGGUCCACCACUAUCUAUUUGUCACCUUUACGUUGGUUUUCGACAUUAGUAGAAUACAUUUGUUUCUUCAUUUAAGAAGAAACAUUGUGCUGACCAAACCAGGAAUGGGAAUGCUAGAGUUUCCGAAUUUAGGAAUGCAUUGUGCUGAUCAAAUUGUUGGCAUCUCUAUUUUUUGCACUUUAUUUGCAAUUCUUGUCACCAGGCGUUUUGUCUAGAGUAUUAAAGCUACAGUGGUCACCAUUGUCCAAAAGGCAAAGGAAUUGAUGUAACCGUUGUACAGCCAUCAAAGUUAUCAAAACAAGAAAAGUAUGGAGAAAUUAAUAACUUUUUUAUAAAAGGAUCAUUUCAUUCAAUAAAUGUUUACUAAUAGGAGAAAAUACAUUAAACAAAUAUUACAUGAAUACAUAUAGAUUUGAAAUCAAUCGAUAUAAAAAAUCUAGGAAAUCAAUAUAAAUAAAUAUAACAUUGAUGCUCCCACAUAUUUUUGAUUCUAUUGAAUCGUUAUAAUCUAAUAUAUCCAUGCAUAUCUUCUAAUAGUCACAUCUGAUUAAAACUGGUUCCAAAGACAAAAUUUACACCUGUCAAUAAUGAAGAAAUUGUAGGUCUAAGAAACUAGAUCUUAGAUCAAUGAAAUCUCAAAUUUCACAAAAAACUAAAACUAAAAAAUUCUUACAAAAAAUCAAGGAGAGAAUAAAACUCUCAUUAGAACAAUUUAAGAGAGAAAAACUCUCACUAGAACAAUCUACAAGAAAAGAAACUCUCACUACAAGAUCCUAAUAGAGAAGAAUCUCUCACUCAAAAAUCAUAUGAGAGAAUUUAUUCAAAUAAGAGAAAUUAAAAACUAGAGAGAGUACUCCUUCCCAUGGGAAAAGACUAGACUUGGUCUCAAUUGAACAUUGUUUGAGGCACAGGCUUGGACUAGAUCAUAUAUACCAAGACAGAGAAAAAGAAGUCAAAAUUUAGCUGUUUGUUCAAGUAGUUGGGCAUUGAGUUUCUUCAAGGCAUCUUUGUUGAUGUGGGCUACAAUUAAAGAUGAAAUGGCAAAUUUUGAGAAGUGAUUUUAAAGAAGUGCCGUAGGGGCCAAGCAGUAGUACAAGUAUUAGCUGCAUCGACAUUCGAAACACAUGCAAUCAGGUGGAUUGUGGAACAAUGACUAUGAAAAACCCACCAGAAUUGGAUUUUGCCAUUUCCAUAAGGAAUAUUUGUCAAAUAUUUCUAAUUUGUCUAUGUUGGUGGACUAUUGGAAUUAAUUGAGUUCUCCCAAAACUCAGGAGGAUAAUACUUGGCCACUAGAAAAAUUCAACUUUAGAUUUUUAAAUUUCAACUUUAGUUUGUGAUACUUGGCCACUAGAAAAAUUCUCAUUCCUCGUACCAAUGAAUAUGGGAUGCCAACUCAAGUUCUGAAAAAUGUAGUUAAGUGAAUAUGAUAUCAUCCAAUUUCCUUUAUACAAUUGAAAUUGAAAAUAUUUGCAUUUUUACAUUGCACCUUUGGGACUUGGAGACAUACAAGAGCAAAUUAAUUUUUGCACUUUCAAUAAAACUAGAGUUAAGCCUUUGGAGAUUUCAAAAACUGCAUUGAAUCUUUUUGACCUAACAGAUGCUAAUGAUGUUAUUUUGCGAAUUCUAACAAACCCUUCGUCCUAUCAAUUUGUAAUAAAAAAUUACCUACCAAUUAGGAGUAGUCGAGUAGUUGUCUAAGAAACAAAAAUUUUAUCAGUCAUUUUACUAUUGUCAACCAACCUACCAUAUUUAACAUACGGGAAAAUUAAUUAAAAAUGGCAAAAACUUAGAAAUCCAAUUAGAAGAUUUGAUUGCCACUAAAAUCUACUUAAAUCUUUGUCAUUGUUAUGUUAUUCAAACAAGGUAAUAUAAUUAUUUAUACUACAUUAUUCAAAUAAGAUAAGAGUACUUUUUCCUACGUUACGAAUCACUUUGAACUAGUAUUCCGCAAAAAAUUCAAGUUGAUGCUGAGAAUUCAAUCAAAACAAUUGAUCUUCUAAUCCUAAAUCUUCUAUUUUACUCCUUCGAUUUUUCUAUCUACCAACCUAUUUCCUACCUCAGUAGUUCUUUUCUAAUUUUUGGUUGCUCUAUGUUAAUUUUGUGGAAAGCUAUCAUACUUAAAUUACCAACACUUUGCUUUUCCAAGAUUUCUUUUCAAGUAAAAAUAUUUUUUUGAAUUCAUGAACCAUAUCCUCUAAUACAAGUGCUAACAGGAGUGGAAGUCCACAGUUUUGGUUCCUCGAAGAACUUAGCUUGCUUUGCCAAUAUAUAAGCUGGCUUGUUACAAGUUCUCCUAACCCAAACAAUAUCAAUAAUCCUACCUAGAGACUUGUAAUAAAAAUCAUCCAAUAGAGCCCCAAGGUGUGACAAAUUCCCCCUAUUGCAUUUAGCAUCCUGAUAAUAUUGAUUCAAUGAUACAGUUGUUCAAAAUUAGAUGAUUAAAUAAGAGCACACGUUCAAUUGCCGCCUUCAAUUCGAACACGUCAAGAGAACGAAGGUCUUGAAACCUUUUGGAUAAUCUUGCUACAAAUUUACCUUCAUGAUCCCUCACAAUGACUCCAACUGCAAGUGCCUUCAAACGACAAAAAAUCACCCCAUCAAAGUUCACCUUAAAAGAGUCAGGACAAGGUACCUUCCACGAAGUCAUCUCACAAACUCAUUGGUGGUAUUUGCUGUAGACUCAUUUGCAUACACACUUUUUAUCCAAUUCAAAUAGUUAGACCCCCAAAUCACAAGUUGCAAAGGGCUACCAUUAUGCAUCUUUCCAUUUCUACUACCCCAAAUACCCCAAGAGAGAACCGUAAAUGUCAAGAGUUGAUCCUCCUUCAAGGAGAAAAAAAAAGGCCUUCUUCAACCAACUAGCGCCACUCGGAAGCCUGAGAGAUUGUAAGACUCCUUCCAUAUGGCUCAGAGCUCAAACUUGCACUACAUAAGACACAAGAAUAGAGUAUGCAAGAGAUCUUCUCGCUUUGCUAAGCAAAAGGGCAGGUCAAAUAGCUGGAUAGUAUUGUGGUACUGAUAUCGUUAGGUGACAUAAUAUAAAAUAAUAGUAGUUGACCUGAACAUCCGAUUUUCUUUCCUCUUGUGAUAGUUUAUAGCAUUUUGCAUCCAUUUUUUUGUGAAUUAAAUAAUGCAUCCAAAAGUACAUGUAACUUUUCCAGCUAAAUCGAUAAGAUUGUCUUGUAAAAUAGUAAGUUUUAAGUACUUAAAAAUUUACUUUUUUAAUAUUAAAUCUUACCAUUUAUGUAAUGAAUUUUACUAUAUUUUUUUGUCAAACUAACUCACUUUAGCAAUAGGUAAGUUUUUCGAGGUAUAUCAGUAAGUUUGUCCAAAAAGUAGCAAAUUUCAAAAGUUACAUUUUUAUUAGUAAAACUUACUAUUUAUCUAACAAAACUUACUAUUAUUUUGAUUAAACUUACUAGUUUAGUUGUAUGUAAUUGCAAGUAAAAUAGUAAGUUUGUGCAAUAAAAAAGUAAAUUUCAAAAAUUACCAUUUUAUUAGCCAAAUUUACCAUUUAUCUAACAAAACUUACUACUAACCUCAUUAAACUUACUAAUCUAGUUGUAUGUAAGUUUUCAAGUAAAAUCGUGAAUUUGAACAAUAAAGAUGUAAGUUUUAGUCAUCCAUAUAAGUUACCUUUUUAAUGCACAAACUUUCUAUUUAUCUUCUAAAACUUACUAUAAUUGUAAAGAAUUUACUAACCUAGCUUUAAGUAAGUUUCACAAAUAUAUUGGUAAGUUUGUGCAAUGAAGUAGUAAAUUUGUAAAACUUACCAAUUUACCAUUUUAUUUGUAAAACUUACCAUUUUUCAACAAAAAACUUAGCAUUAUUUGAAUUAAACUUACUAAUUAUAAUUGUUGUAACUUUCUUAAGUAAAAUGGUAAGUUUGUGAAAUAAAGUAGUAAGUUUGGACAAUUCACCAAUUUACCAUUUUUUUUUGUAAAACUUACCAUUUUUUAACAAAAAACUUACCAUUAUUUCAAUUAAACUUGCUAAUUAUAAUUGUUGUAACUUUCUUGAGUAAAAUGGUAAGUUUGUGAAAUAAAGUAGUAAGUUUGAACAAUUCACCUAUUUACCAUUUUAUUUGUAAAACUUACCAUUUUUCAACAAAAACUUACUAUUAUUUGCAUUAAACUUACUAAUUAUAAAAUAGUAAGUUUCAUUGGAGAAGUAGUAAUGUUUGGUAUUUAAAGAAUAAAUUUCAUAUCACACUUAUAACUUACCAAUUUCAUUACCAAAGUCACCAUAUUACGACCUACAUUGAAUAUUGAAAACCUAAAUGAACAGUAGUGCAAUUGUCGCUAAAUAUACCAAUCUUGGAUGUGAGGACCACUAUUAAUCGGCUGAACCAGUAUUUUAAUGUGAAAUAUUCACAAGUUAUGGUAAUGAUCGGCACUGUAGCAUUAUCUACAUAUAUCCUUGGAAGCAGACCCUCUAAAACUUUCAAACUCUUGUUACUUAAUCAUUUUGGUCACAAUAUAUAUUCACCUUAGGCAAUAAAUAAAGGAUUGUGCAGCAGUGACGACAAGUCACUCACGAAAUACUAAAAUAAUGGCAAUUACCAGUAGUUGUCUAAGUUACCCACCUUUAGCGACAAUUUUGGUCCUUUAGCGUCUUUUCUGAUUCCAUUAAAAUAAUGAUUAUAAAUUCUGUGUAAGUUUUUUUAACUAAAAUGGUAAGUUUGUUCACUAAACUAGUAACUUUAAUCAUUCAUCAAAUUUACUAUUUUAUUUGUAAAACUUACCAUUAUGUCAAUUAAUUAAACUUACUAAUUAUAAUUGUUGUCAUUUAAGUAAAAUGAUAAGUUUGUGAAUAAAGUAGUUUUGGACAAUUCACUAAUUUACUAUUUUAUUUGUAAAACUUACCAUUUUUCAACAAAAACUUACCAUUAUUUGAAUUAAACUUACUAAUUAUAAUUGUUGUAACUACCUAAGUAAAAUGGUAAGUUUGUGAAAUAAAGUAGUAAGUUUGGACAAAUUUUUACCAUUUUAUUUGUAAAACUUACCAUUUUUCAACAAAAAAUUACUAUUAUUUGAAUUAAACUUACUAAUUAUAAAGUAGUAAGUUUCGUUAGAGAACUAGUAACGUUCGGUAUUUAAAGAGUAAAUUUCAUAUCACACUUAUUUACUAAUUUUAUUACCAAAGUUACCAUAUUACCACCUGAUGUUACUUUAAAUAUUGGAAACCUAAAUGAACAGUAGUGCAAUUGUCGCUAAAAAAAUACUAAUCUUGGAUGUGGGAACCACUAUUAAACGGUUGUACCAGUAGUUUAAUAUAAAAUAUUCACAAGUUGUGGUAACGAUUGGCAGUGUAGCAUUAUCGCAAAUAGCCAUCUACUCUUUGAGAUUCAAGAUUACCAGCAUUGGGAAGAAUAUCCAUACAACACCUCCAAAGGAAAUGUUUGAUCUUAUUUGGUAAAGUAAUUUGCCAAAUAAUCCUAAACAACUUCCUGUGCACUUCCUCAAAACUAUAGCCAUCUAUCUCUCCUGUAUUAAAUACUAUUUGAGUGCAUUGCAGCAUCACAAGCACUCCUUACUAUAAAGUAUCCUUUUUUUUGUUAUAAUGCCAAAUCCAUUUGCCUUGCCUUGCAAAUCAGCGUAAUUGAAUAUUUACAAAUUGACUCAGCUUCCCACAGCAAAAUGAUAGACUCAAUCAACUCUGUGUCCCAAGCCUUCUGAUUCUGUUGAAUAAGAGAACUAACAAUUGCAUUUUCAAGCAAAGCUGCUGGUAAUGAAACACCGCCAUGAAUGAAGCAGGCUGCGAUAACCAGGGAUCCUUCCAAAUAUGAAUCGAAUCCCCAUUUACCGCACUUUUUCGACAACCUAAACCCAACAUCUUACGUCCCUCCAAGUGAAAAAAGGUCUUGAACCUAACUUAGCCUUAAAAAAGAUUCAUAAGGAAAACAUUUUGCUUUAUAAAUCUUAUGUAAUAGUGAAUUCUCUCUUACUAAAAUUUGCCAAGCUUGUUUAGCAUGCAUAGCCAAAUUAAAUGCCUUGAAAUUACGAAAAACCCAACCCACCCUCCAUUUUGGGUUUACAAACUUUUUUCCAAACCAACUAAUGAAUCCCAUUUUUAUUACCUGAACCCCACCAAUAUCUACUCAUCAUAGACUGCAAUUCAUUUAACAUGUUAUUCAACAUUAAAAAACACGACAUGGCAUAGGCAGGUAUGGCUUGAACAACUGCCAUAAGUAAGAUUUCUUUUCUUGCUACUGAUAAAUGUUGUUCCUUUCAGCUCUGGAUCCGUUGCCACACUCGUUCUUUUAAGCAGUUGAAAACCUCGGCUUCGACUGACUAACUACCACUGGCAAUCCCAAGUACUUUGAAUAAGUCUACACUUCCGAAAUUUCCAAGAUUUGAGAAAGUCUCUCAUUCUCCUCUAUACUUGUACUUUUGCUAAAUACUAUUGUUGAUUUCUCUAGAUUGACUUAUUAACUUGAUACACAACCAUAAAUUGCUAGGAUAUCCCGUAAACAUUUUGCCUCCUUUUCAGUAGAUGAGAUAUAGCUUGAGCUUCAUUGGCAACCUUAAAACUUGACAGCCUUCCACAUCAUGUCGCAUCCUGCAACAAGAUGGAGAAAAACUAUGCACAUAUCAAAAUGAGGUAUGGAACAAGGGACCUCCUUGUCUCAAACCCCUCUUAGGUACUAAAUUACCAAACUUCAAGCCAUUCAAAGGGAAAGAAAAUGAAACAGUAGAAAUACAAGUAUCAAUUAAUUCUAUAAAACUUGAAUGACAUCCUAAAGCAAUAAGUAGUUUUUUUUUUUUUAUCAAGAAAGUCCAUUAAAUCUAGUCAUAUGCCUUGCUCAUAUCGAGUUUGACAGACAUAAGACCUUCUCAUCCUAAGGAUUUUGUUCUAAGAUAACGAUUCAUCUCAUAGGCAACAAGAACAUUAUCAGUGAUUAAACAACCCGGGAUAAAGGCGGAUUGAUAUUUUGAAAUGAUAGAAGGAAGAACAUUUAAUUUAUUAGCUAGCAAGAACUUUAGAUGCCAACUUAUAAGUCACAUUACAUAAAGUAAUUGGAUGGAAUUGAGAAAUAUCAGACACAGAUUGACACUCAGAAAUUAAGACUAUAUGAGUAUAAUUAAGACUCUUAUUGAAGUGACCAUGAUUUUAAAAGGACAAAACAUAUUUUGACACAGCUGACCACUACAUACAAAAAUUUUGAUAAAAAACAGGACUAAAACCAUCUGACCUGGGAGAUUUAUAAGGAAGCAUUUGACUCAAAUCCUUAACAAUCUCAGUCUAAGUAUAUGAUUUAGUAUGCUUCUUGUCCAUCUCAUCAGUAACCUUGCAUUGAACUCUCUCUAACACCAGUUGAAUAUCCUCCUCUGAAGGAUGAGCGGAGAAAAAUAAUCUCUCCAAAUGAUCCAUAACAAUUCUUUCAAUCUCUUCGUAAUCUGUACACUGAUGUCCUGUAUCAUCUUUUAAACUUAAAAUCUCAUUCUUUUUAUGUCUGGCACGCUUUAGAGUGAAAAUAUUUUGUAUUACAAUCUCCCAUCCUCCUUAAGACAAUGCUCUUUGCUAUGCUGACUCCACAUGAUCUCCUCUUUAUCUAACAACUAAUCUAACUCCAAUUCUAGUCUUCCAAUUUCCCCUUUACUUGAUCCGCAAGGGUAUCUAACAACUAAUCUAACUAUGUUUGGAUUAUUCCACCUAUUACACCAAGUAUGCUUAUAACCUUUAUACCCCAGAUCAUAUAAACAAUAAUGCUCCAAUGCUUCCAUAAACAAAGAAAUCUACCACGGAAAGUAUUGCUAUUUUGUAGCAAAUUCAUGUGCAAAUAACAUUUUAUUAAAAUCUUCAACACAUAAUCCUAGUAAAUUCACCUUACAGUUCAAGCUCUUAAAUUGUUCCUAGGUGAGUCGUCUGCAAGAUACAUCAGGUUUCUUAUAAAACCAAUAAAUCUCCAUCACCUCUGAUUGUCCGAAAAUGAGACAAUUGCAUCAAUCCAACAUCUUGAAAAACUAGCAAUAGACAUAAAAGCAUCUUUAUUUCAUUAGAGCGCAAUACCUCCAGACCUGUCAUUUGCUGCUAUUGCCAAACCAUAAAGACUUAAUUGUUCCUUCAAAUGCUCAACAAUAGUGAUGUUACAUUUUGUCUUUGAAAGAAAAAAUAAAUUAGGUUUGUAGCUCCUCACAAAGCAGCGGAGCUCACGAACUGUCUGGGAGUUCCCCAACCCGCAGUAGUUCCAACUAAAGCAACUCCUUGAUUUCGAGGGGGUUGGUAACAGCCUCCGCUGAUGUGUUCUGAAAAGUGGAUGGAACAUAUUGAUCAGAUUCUCCAUGACUUCUUUUUACCAAUGGCAUGUCCACAGUAGCCCUACUGUCAUCGCUAUAUUCUUCAAUUCUGCUCCUCUUAGAAUCUAACACUGAUUUCCAAGCUUUCUCAGAGAACUUAUCCUAGGACAACAGAUGCCACCUUUUCUUUUCACCUUUCUGUUGCAAUACCAGCUUAGAGGCUGAUUCUUAAAAGCCCUGGGUAUCUUUUCUGUUUGUAGUACAUCAUCCAUGCUGUUUCACUUGCACAUCCAGCAGAAAAAUAUCAUCAAUUAAAUCUUUCAUUUUUUACUUUUCCAGAACAAAAGAAAUAACACAAUCUGUAUUUUCUAUUAAAUUAACCAAGUCCUUAUUUCCUUUAUGAAGAUGUAAUCCAUUUCGAACAUUACCUCCUAAAGAAGAAGAGCACUCUAUCCCACCACUCUUAAGCCCAUAUCAUUUCUUUUACUAGGCCAAGAUCAAUUGGUAAGCCAGUUUCUCUCGUUUUGUCUUUGAUCUCAACCAACCCCUAUAUCCUCUCCCUAGACUUCCACAAUUUGAAUUUGGAUAAAAGCGCUCAUCCCUUCUCAAAUCUUUAUCCUUUUGUUGUAGAAGGAUAUCCUUCUUUUUAUUCGAAAAUUGAACAGGACAAGAUAUGCCCCGGAAAAACUACCUGUCUACGUCAUCCUCAUGUAGUCCUUGAGAACGUGCAUGCCCCACUCUCGGUCCAACUACCUUUUUCGGUGAUCGCCUGUCUUCCAUUACCAGAAAUGACUUUGCAGUAACAUUGCCACUUCCUGCUCUCAGCCAAUGACUGUAUUGCUGAUCAUGCUGAUGAAAAAUACCGUCAUUUUCUUUAAAAACAUAAUUUCGCUCACCGUGUCCUAACCUACCACAAUAGUAACAAAAAAUUGGCAUCUUCUCAUACUUGAAGAAAAUCUCACUUCCUCUUGAAAAUGAAUUCUUAUUUUUCUACGAAGAGGCUUGGUAGCAUCAAUUUCCAUUCAAAUUCUUGAAUAUCUACCCAAGAAACAUUCACAUCACUAGAAUCCCAUCUAAUAAAAUUACCCAUUUUGUUAUCAAUCAAUUGAGUAGUCUCCACACUCAUCCUACUGAAAGGAAUGUUGUAUGCCUAAACCCAAAAACAUUACCACAUGAGCUGAAUCUUAAAUGGAUGAACAUCUCCAUCAUAUUCAACAAGUAACACUAAAUUAUGAUCAAAAGUCCAUAGGACACCCUCCAAAAUAUGCCUUUUAUCCCGUUCAAUUGUAAAUUGAAAUAAUGACAAAUUAUCUCCAAUGGCUAUACCUUUAAGUCUUCUUGGAAUAUCCCAAGCCUUAAUGAGAGUUGAAAUCAUUGUCUAAACAUUAACAUGCUUCUGAGAUAAUAUUUUUUCAAGAAGAAAAAGUGCUCAUGUUUGAACAAUUUCCUCAUUAAUCAUACCAAUUUUCCUCAUUGGUAAUCUUUAAAUUCUCCCACAACUGAACUCUUCCGCCAUUAGUAAUUUCCAUAAACUGGGUAUGAAAAGACUAAGAGACCAAGGAACUUAAGAAAAAGAACUAAAAAAACAAAGAAACAAGCACCACACAAUGUCGAAAAGAAAAGACUGAUGUUAAGACUCAGAAAACACACUGAUAGAAAACAAUGAAUACUAAUACAAGAAAAGACCCAAUAGAAAUACUAGAAGAAAACAGGGACAAAAGGAGUGAGAGAGAAUCAUUAUCCAAAGACAAAAUCUAAAAGACUAAAGAACUCUCACCGUGGAGAGGAAAAACUUGCAUGAGCAAGGAGUCAUUUUUACAGAGAGAACGAAACCCUAAUGGGAAAAAGCCAUCGUAGCUUUAGUUUUUAAUUUCACCUUUGUAUUCCUAAUUGAUAUUUAACCUCUUAAGUAAAACUAUUUAUUAGCAACAAAACGAAAGAGAUAUUAUAUUUCUAUAAAUUAUAGCAAUAACUGGCAAAUACAUAGGAAUAAUAAUACCAAGAGAUGUUUACCCUAAUCUGAUCAUGGCAGGUUUCUAGGACAUUUUCUAGCAACUUACUAGCGUAUGCUUAUAAGAUGCCUGUCUACAGAGCUAAUGCAGAUUAACUUCUACCUUUUUCUUGAAUACUUCUCAUGAAUUCUACCUUGACACUUCCAUAUGAUAGUCUCAUAUGCAUGAUUUUUUUUAAUUCAAAACCAUUAAUUCCAAUGACAGCCCAAUAUCAUUGUUGCUUGGCAUGCUAAACUUUGUACUAAUAAAUAGAUUAAAUUCAUUCAUGUAAAGUGAACCGUCUUUAUUAACUAAAUUGACUCCUAAUGUAAUGUUAGGUGGCAUGUUACCAACAAAUUUUCAAGCAACUUACAAGUUAAUUCCUAUAGAUUUUAGAGAAGGCCAACCAUCCUUAUUAUCCGAGCCAACCAAUUCACUAAUGAAAAAUAUGUUCAUAAAAAAGUUCACCUGAAAAUUGUGACUGUAAAUCGCGAUAUUAUUAACUAUUAAGUGAUAGACAUAAAUAUGAAAAUUUUUAAAAUUAAGGAGAUGAAUUUUCUAUUAAUUUGUUUUUAUCAAUUACGUUGUAUGUCAUUGAGUAUAGAAUUUUCCUUCACGAAAGUUGGUACGGUUCAAUUUAUUCAUAGCAAACCGCGUGAAGGAGUGACCUUAAAAUUCUUUUUGUUACUUUUUGGGAUGAACAAUCAGCAACCCAACACAGCUAAAGCCCAAAGAUUAAGAAAAGGAAGCCCAAUACGUAGAAACCCAUUUCAGCCCAAACUUCAAAAUUCCCACACUACUCUUUCAAAAAUGAAUAGGGUUCUUAUACAGUUGCCCCUUCACUGACAAGAUCUCGCCUUUCGUUGGGGUUUCUCUUAUUUUCACACACUCACACAGUAACAAUGGCGCCGGCGAAGCAGAAGACGGCGAAGGUGAGCAGAAACCCCGAUUUGAUCAGGGGAGUGGGCAAGUUCUCACGCUCCAAGAUGUACCACAAGAGAGGCCUUUGGGCUAUUAAGGCCAAAAAUGGCGGCACUUUUCCCUGCCAUGAGAAAAAGCUGGAGGAGCCUGCGCCAGCAGCCGUGAAGCCGGUGAAGUUUUACCCCGCCGAUGACGUGAAAAAGCCGCUAGCCAACAAGCGCAAGCCCAAGCCCACGAAGCUCAGGUAAGAUAGGUGAAUUUUUUUUUUAAAUUGAUUGAGAUGAUUUUGGUUAAUUUGAGGAAGUUUCGAUUGAUAUAUUUAUUUAUUUAUUUUGGAUUUUUUUGGAACUAAUGGUUUAGGGCAAGUAUUACACCUGGGACCGUGUUGAUAAUUUUGGCUGGGAGGUUUAAGGGCAAAAGAGUUGUGUUCUUGAAGCAGCUUUCUUCUGGAUUGCUUCUUGUUACUGGUGAGUUUUCUUCUAUUGACGGAAUCCAUUUUUCUGUUUAUUGGCUAUAAAUUAUGUCUAUUUUUUUUUUUUAUGUGGGAGUGAAAAUUGGUCGGAAAUUUAGUAAAUAGGGUAGUUCAUUUAUUUCUGAUUCAGAUCUAUCGAAUGUAUAUUAAUUUUUAUCUGUUUGUUUGUGAAAUAGGGUAGACGAGUGGCUUGUGGGCUGAAAACACAGCAAUUAACUGAUCUUGGAAAAGGGGGAUUUGCUUGUUACAGUCACUUGGAGGGAAAUUGGUGAUUCAUGAGUUUCAGUUAUUGAUUGUAUUUUGAAUUUUGACAAAACAUAAGGAUUAGAGAAGAUAGUGCUAUUCCUCUACUGUGGUGAUUUUGAUGUGUAACAUUAAAAGAUAAAUUUUCAUUUUUAAAGUUUGGUUUGCUUUUGAUGGAAUUUAUUGGGAAAGUUGUUUUAUAUUGUAUUUAUCAAGUUGUCUUAGUGUUGAAAUUACAGCUUUCGGCUCAGUUGCUAAUAGGAAUCCACUGGGUUGCUACUGCACACUUUGUACAAUAGCUUUAUUGGUGGUCUUGAUACAUUAAUCUUCACUUAGUUUGAUAGAUUUCUAGCAACCAAAUAACUUUAUGAGCACACUUUGUACAAUAGCAAAAUUUGUUUGCUAUGUUGCAUGGUUUCAUUGUUCAAUUUGCUUAUCAAAGCUGAAGCAGCUAUUGGAUUCUCCUUCCCUUUUGUUAACUGAUCAUUUACUAAUUUGUUGCAUUACUUGUAUAGGACCGUACAAGAUUAAUGGUGUUCCAUUGAGGAGGGUCAAUCAGGCAUAUGUCAUUGGCACUUCAACUAAGGUUGACAUAUCUGGUGUAAGUGUGGACAAGUUUGAUGAUAAGUACUUUGCCAAGCAAGUCGAGAAGAAGAAGAAGAAAGGAGAGGGCGAGUUCUUUGAGGCUGAAAAAGAGGUCUUCUCAUAAACUUGCAAUUACUGUUACAUUUAGCCUCUUCCACUUCUGCAUCUGAUUUUAUUGAUAUACCAAUCCCUUACUGUUUUUAUAUCGUGUGUUUGCACUUCAGGCGAAGAAUGUGCUCCCGCAGGUUAAGAAGGAUGACCAGAAAGCUGUGGACACACAGUUGAUAAAGCCAUUGAAGGAGUUGAAGAGUUGAAGGCCUACUUGGCUGCAAGGUUUUCUCUCUCGGCAGGCAUGAAACCUCAUGACCUAGUCUUUUAGAGGAAUUGAUGUGCUAGAUUAUUAUUACUGAUUUUGUUGUUUUUAUUUUUUUGAUUUUGAUCCCUUUGAGCUGUAGUUUUUCGGUUGUACUUCUUUUCGGUGGUAAACAAAUUUUGCAUUAGUAAUGGUUUUGUAGCUACAACUUGGAAUUUAAAAUGGUCAAUUACUCCUUUCCUUUGUAAUGUUGUAGACAUGAGUGCAAAAUAGAUGGGAAGUGUAAAAUAUCUGGGAAUUUAAAUGCAAGGAAACCCAAAUCCAUUCUCGACUUUUUGUGAUUUUCUCCCCUAGCACUGAAAGAAAACAGAAGAGGGCACUGAAUAGAAAACAAGCUCGAUCCACUAUUAUAUAAACCUAAGAAGAGACGUUUGAUGUCCUUCGGGUCAGGAACUUCGCUAUGGCGCGCGAUUCGAAGUGUAAUGCUUUAAGCAUAGUCCGAAGUCCAAAUUUCGACAACAAAGCCCAGAUAAAGUGGCAUUAUUAUUAUUAUUAUUAAUUGCAUUUCACUUUUUAUUUAUCACACUCUUGCUGUCAUUUUUAUCAUAUAGUUUUCAUUUAUUAGACUUCAAUAAAACAAAUGGUAAGAACGCAACUAACAAAAAGUAAAGUGUAAUUUACAUAUUCCCUAAAAAAAAAGAAAAUACUAUAAUCCAACAUUUUUUCAACAAACCUCGUUUCAAUUAGUCUAGAUACUCGCAAACGAAUCGAGUUACAGAAUUUGCUAUGUUACAGAUACCCUAUCCAAGUUCCAAAAAAUAACCUAAUUGAAACACAGGUACUAUAGGACAUGUCCAAUUCGACAUCUGAGAAAUUCCCACUCAGAGUUGCCUUCCAGGUAAGAUAAAUCCAAACAAAUUUUAGAGCCUUGAGUUGUAACUACCAUCAUCAUACUCGUAAUGCCAAUUGUAGAUUUGACAUAUUCAGUGCUAACGCUCUUAAAACAAGUUAAUAUAAGAGGAAAGGAAACAUGGACGAUGUUGAGAGGCAGAGAUUCACGAGAGGGAACUGUAUUGAGUCAAUGGGAUGAUUCCAGGAUCAGGACGUACAUAAAUUACUAAUUACAUACAACCUACAGACGAAUCAUUACUACCCCAAAAAUACUGCCAUAUUGUUGAAGCAGCUUUACAAAAUGACUGGGCCAAAAGACACCAGUUUCUCUAGUUCUUAGAUUAGUCCUUAUUCCUGGAAGAGCGAUCCUUCCUGUGUCCACCAAGAAUACGAGAAAUCUGAAG